UACAGAGGUCCCAAGCGUUGUUCGGAUUCACUGGGCGUAAAGGGUGCGUAGGCGGUCGGGUAAGUCUGAUGUGAAAUCUCACAGCUUAACUGUGAAACUGCAUUGGAUACUAUCCGGCUCGAGGAAUGGAGGGGAGACUGGAAUACUUGGUGUAGCAGUGAAAUUCGUAGAUAUUCGCAAGAACACCAGUGGCGAAGGCGGCUCACUGGCCCGAUACUGACGCUGAGGUGCGAAAGCGUGGGGAGCAAACAGG
rnacentral:rRNA from 1 species